GCCCGAGUAGCUCAGUUGGCAGAGCAGCUGUCUUGUAAACAGCAGGUCCAGGGUUCGAUUCCCUGCUCGGGCU
rnacentral:tRNA from 1 species